CACGUAGGGUGCGAGCGUUGUCCGGAAUUAUUGGGCGUAAAGAGCUCGUAGGCGGUGUGUCGCGUCGGCCGUGAAAACCUGCAGCUUAACUGUGGGCUUGCGGUCGAUACGGGCAUCACUGGAGUUCGGCAGGGGAGACUGGAAUUCCGUGGUGUAGCGGUGAAAUGCGCAGAUAUCAGGAGGAACACCCGUGGCUAAGGCGGCUCUCUAGUACGGUACUGGACGCUGAGACGGCGAAAGCGUGGGAGCGAACAG
rnacentral:rRNA from 1 species